rnacentral:rRNA from 1 species
AUUGAACGCUGGCGGCAGGCCUAACACAUGCAAGUCGAGCUAGCGGCGGACGUGUGCGUAAUGUCUGGGAAACCGCCUGAUGGAGGUGGAUAACUACUGGAAACGGUAGCUAAUACCGCAUACCAUCAGAUGUGCCCAGGUGGGAUUCGCUAGUCGGUGGGGUAACGGCUCGCCUAGGCGACGAUCCCUAGCUGGUCUGAGAGGAUGACCAGCCGGACUGGAACGAAGACGCGGUCCAGACGCGUGCGGCAGGCAGCGGUGGAAGAUGUUGCACGGUGGGCGCAAGCCUGAUGCGGCCAUGCCGCGUGUGUGCAGAAGGGCUCGGAGUUGUAAAGCACUUUCAGCGGGGGGGCGUUACCCGCAGAAGAAGCACCGGCUAACUCCGUGCCAGCAGCCGCGGUAAUAC